UACGUAGGGUGCAAGCGUUGUCCGGAAUUAUUGGGCGUAAAGAGCUCGUAGGCGGUUUGUCGCGUCUGCUGUGAAAACUCGGGGCUUAACUCCGGGCCUGCAGUGGGUACGGGCAGACUAGAGUGCGGUAGGGGAGACUGGAAUUCCUGGUGUAGCGGUGAAAUGCGUAGAUAUCAGGAGGAACACCGAUGGCGAAGGCAGGUCUCUGGGCUGACACUGACGCUCAUGCACGAAAGCGUGGGGAGCAAACAGG
rnacentral:rRNA from 1 species